GAAGCUCUCUUUGCCCAAUCUUAGUCUGCCAACCCGUGCUUCAGGAUGUCCAAAUAAGAGGCAACUUCUUUUGGAAUUUUCUAGGUGCCCCGUAAUGUACACACACACACAAAAUGUAAGGGCCCCAGUUAGAAAACCAUGAAAAAACAAAAAGACCAACUGAGAAAAUAGUGAAAACUUACAUACCAUCAUCUGUACUUCGGCGUUAGUCCUAGUGAAGCGGUGUAUGAAGGAUGGCCAUGUGACCCAUGGCAGAGUGGCAAUAGGUUGCACAAUUUAGCUAUGGCAUAAUAACAAUUAGCUAAUUGAACUGUGUAUGAAAAAAUACAAGACAAAAUGGGGGAAAAGACACAACAAAUAUGUCCCAAAAAAGGACCAGCUACUCUGCGAACCAGUUUCGAAAACAAUUGACAACUUUGAAACUUUC
rnacentral:lncRNA from 1 species